rnacentral:lncRNA from 1 species
GCAAGUUUUCUUCUAAUGGCUUUAAGUAGAAAAUUAACAUUUUCUGAAUCUAGUGAUUUGAUUUUUUUUUUCUUCUCAUGAUAGCAUGUUGGAAUUUUAGGAAAAUAUUGUGACUUACUCGAAUGUGCUGGAGGGAACGGUGUGAACCAACGUUCUCUGCUACCUAGAGACUGGAUGCCACUGCAGAUUUGCCCCUUUCUAAAGCCCCACCAGCGCAGUCCAUCCCCAAAGAACCGGUGAUUGCUGGGCCAAAUAAUUACUGGGCUUAGCUGCCAGAUUCAUUCAGAAAUUGCUGGUAUUGUCCUCCGUAAAAUGAUAUGUCCCUAUGAUCUCUCUCUCUUUUCAGCAAACCAGAAUCCUGGAUAUAAUUUGAUCUUCAUUAUGGAGAGGGCAGCGGAAUCAGAUAAUAGAAGUCCUGAAGAGUUUAAGUAACAGAGGAUCAACCUCGCGUUCCCCAUCCGGCCCUGCUCCCCAGCUGAGGUAGCUGUUCACGGCUCAAGUUAAUUUGAUAGGAACCGGGGAAAGAAUAUUUUGAGUCCCAAACUUGAGGCUAUGGGCUUUCUCUUUGCAAACUCCCAUCCCCGAAAUCUACCCGAAUCUUAGAUUGAGAUCUUACAAGGGGAGAUGCCAAGUCGGCUCUGUGCAGGAGCACCGCAGCUCUCCCGCUUGCCUCCAGGAACCUCCAGGUAGCAAUUUGCCACAUCCUCUGCCUUUGACAGAGGCCUAGGCAUUAGAGGAGGUGUUUUGCUCUCCUGUCACUUGCCUCCUCACAGUAUAAUUAUCUGAGUUCCUAAGCACUGCAGUGAUAUGUGAAGAAAUCCAAAGAAGAAAUACAAUCUGUCUUCAUUGUCUUUCGUCAUUCGCCCUCGAUUAAAUAUUUCUUACCCUGGGCUAAGGUAGCCUGGGGUGGAACAGGCCAUGGGCUGCAGGCCAGAAGAGUGUAAAGAAUCAAUUGCCGAGGAGUGGGGAGGCAAGACUGGAAACAGAGAGACCAAGUGAGAGCCCAGGACUGAGAGAAUGAAGCCUUCAGCUCCAGCAGGAGCAGAGGAGAUGAGGGUGCAGGUCUGUCAGAGACGUGCUUCCUGUCACCGCCCCUCCUGUGCCCACGAAGGCAUCACCAGCGGACACCAAACUCCUUCCUGAUGAGCCGGGAAAUGGCUACAAGUCCUCAAUACGACAUCCUCAAUAUGCACAUGUAGAUGAUACAAGGUUCAAAUAACUUUGGGGGAAACUUUUUCCUUCUCAGAAUCUCUCUAUCCAAGUUAGACUCCUUUAGAGGAUAUUUGGGUUUCAAAUUUCAGAUUUUUAGAGGAGAAUAGAAGGAGCACCAGUGAGCGGCACUCCUAGAAAGCUUCCCUAAUGGCCUAGACUUGUGCCCGUCAUCCUAAU